UUGGGCGUAAGAGCUCGUAGGCGGUUUGUCGCGUCUGCCGUGAAAGUCCGGGGCUCAACUCCGGAUCUGCGGUGGGUACGGGCAGACUAGAGUGAUGUAGGGGAGACUGGAAUUCCUGGUGUAGCGGUGAAAUGCGCAGAUAUCAGGAGGAACACCGAUGGCGAAGGCAGGUCUCUGGGCAUUAACUGACGCUGAGGAGCGAAAGCAUGGGGAGCGAACAGGAUUAGAUACCCUGGUAGUCCAUGCCGUAAACGUUGGGCACUAGGUGUGGGGGACAUUCCACGUUUUCCGCGCCGUAGCUAACGCAUUAAGUGCCCCGCCUGGGGAGUACGGCCGCAAGGCUAAAACUCAAAGGAAUUGACGGGGGCCCGCACAAGCGGCGGAGCAUGCGGAUUAAUUCGAUGCAACGCGAAGAACCUUACCAAGGCUUGACAUGAACCGGUAAUACCUGGAGACAGGUGCCCCGCUUGCGGUCGGUUUACAGGUGGUGCAUGGUUGUCGUCAGCUCGUGUCGUGAGAUGUUGGGUUAAGUCCCGCAACGAGCGCAACCCUCGUUCUAUGUUGCCAGCACGUGAUGGUGGGGACUCAUAGGAGACUGCCGGGGUCAACUCGGAGGAAGGUGGGGACGACGUCAAAUCAUCAUGCCCCUUAUGUCUUGGGCUUCACGCAUGCUACAAUGGCCGGUACAAAGGGUUGCGAUACUGUGAGGUGGAGCUAAUCCCAAAAAGCCGGUCUCAGUUCGGAUUGGGGUCUGCAACUCGACCCCAUGAAGUCGGAGUCGCUAGUAAUCGCAGAUCAGCAACGCUGCGGUGAAUACGUUCCCGGGCCUUGUACACACCGCCCGUCAAGUCACGAAAGUUGGUAACACCCGAAGCCGGUGGCCUAACCCCUUGUGGGAGGGAGCUGUCGA
rnacentral:rRNA from 1 species